AAGUUUGUUUCUUUCUCUCUCUAAAGAUUUGUGAGCAUCAGGGGUUGAAGCUGCCAGCAUGAUCUGAUCCCUCCUCUAAAACCCUAGAAAUCAGAUCAUGCGAGCAGUUUCAUCCGCUGGUUCUUGCACUGUAUCUCCUCAUAACCCCUGAGAAAGCUACAAGGUU
rnacentral:pre_miRNA from 1 species